rnacentral:rRNA from 1 species
UACGUAGGGCGCAAGCGUUAUCCGGAAUUAUUGGGCGUAAAGAGCUCGUAGGCGGUUUGUCGCGUCUGCCGUGAAAUUCCGGGGCUCAACUCCGGACUUGCAGUGGGUACGGGCAGGCUAGAGUGUGGUAGGGGAGACUGGAAUUCCUGGUGUAGCGGUGAAAUGCGCAGAUAUCAGGAGGAACACCGAUGGCGAAGGCAGGUCUCUGGGCCAUUACUGACGCUGAGAAGCGAAAGCAUGGGGAGCGAACAGG